rnacentral:rRNA from 1 species
GGACUACUGGGGUAUCUAAUCCCGUUCGCUCCCCUAGCUUUCGCACCUGAGCGUCAGGAACUUCCCAGAAGAGUGCCUUCGCCUUUGGUAUUCCUCCGGAUCUCUACGCAUUUCACCACUCCACCCGGAAUUCUCUCUUCCUCUGAAGCCCUCAAGUCUGUCCGUUUGGUCACGCCUUUUGUAGUUGAGCCACAAACUGUCAGUGGCCACGCGACAGACCGCCUGCGUGCGCUUUACGCCCAGUAACUCCGGACAACGCUUGCCUCCUACGUAUUACCGCGGCUGCUGGCAC